rnacentral:rRNA from 1 species
CCUACGGGGGGCUGCAGUGGGGAAUAUUGGGCAAUGGGCGCAAGCCUGACCCAGUAACGCCGCGUGAAGGAAGAAGGCCCUCGGGUUGUAAACUUCUUUUAUUCGGGACGAAACAAAUGACGGUACCGAAUGAAUAAGCCACGGCUAACUACGUGCCAGCAUCCGCGGUAAUACGUAGGUGGCAAGCGUUAUCCGGAUUUAAUGGGUGUAAAGGGCGUGUAGGCGGGAGAGCAAGUCAGACGUGAAAUCCCCGCGCUCAACGUGGGAACUGCCUUUGAAACUGGCAAACUGGAGUGUGUGAGAGGAUAGUGGAAUUCCAGGUGUAGGAGUGAAAUCCGUAGAUAUCUGGAGGAACAUCAGUGGCGAAGGCGACUAUCUGGCACAUAACUGACGCUGAGGAGCGAAAGCGUGGGUAGCAAACAGGAUUAGAUACCCUUGUAGUC